ACGCCUUCCAUGAAGCCGGAAUUGCUAGUAAUGGCAGGUCAGCAUACUGCCGUGAAUACGUUCCCGGGCCUUGUACACACCGCCCGUCACACCAUGAGAGUUGGGGAUACCCGAAGCCUGUGAGCUAACUAUUUAUAGGAGCAGCAGUCGAAGGUAGAAUCAAUGAUUGGGGUGAAGUCGUAACAAGGUAUC
rnacentral:rRNA from 1 species